rnacentral:lncRNA from 1 species
UUAAAAUAAAAAAAUUUGUGGAAAAAAAAGAAAAAGCAACUAAAAUAAAUAAAUCUACAAUCCGGUUCAGAACCAGAAAGAUUAAAAUUAAAAAUCAAUUUAUCUUUUUUUUUUAUCAGCUAUUCAUAUCACUAGACCAUAUAUGGAUUAGAUGAGACGUUUUUCUAAAAAGUACAUGCUCAUGCUCUCAAAAUCAUCAUGUAAACUCCGAAACACACCAAUAUCCAAAGCAAAAAACAGCCAGUCUAUCGAUCUCGUAGUCAUAUCCAUUAAAUCUGAGCAAUCCAUUUGAAACCAGACCAAAGGAACCCUCUUC